rnacentral:rRNA from 1 species
UACGUAGGUGGCAAGCGUUAUCCGGAAUUAUUGGGCGUAAAGCGCGCGCAGGCGGUUUCUUAAGUCUGAUGUGAAAGCCCACGGCUCAACCGUGGAGGGUCAUUGGAAACUGGGGAACUUGAGUGCAGAAGAGAAAAGCGGAAUUCCACGUGUAGCGGUGAAAUGCGUAGGGAUGUGGAGGAACACCAGUGGCGAAGGCGGCUUUUUGGUCUGUAACUGACGCUGAGGCGCGAAAGCGUGGGGAGCAAACAGG